rnacentral:rRNA from 1 species
GGGUCAGUAGGUUGGUCGUGCCACCGGUACGUACUGGUCUCACUGAUUCCUCCUUCCUGAAGAACCGUAAUGCCAUUAAUUUGGUGUUGCGGGGAAACAGGACUGUUACUUUGAAAAAAUUAGAGUGUUUAAAGCAAGCUAACGCUUGAAUAUAUUAGCAUGGAAUAAUGAAAUAGGACGAUCGAUCCUAUUUUGUUGGUUUCUGGGAUUGACGUA